rnacentral:rRNA from 1 species
CUUGAUGAUCCCGCGUUGUAUUAGCUAGUUGGAAGUGUAAAGGACUACCAAGGCGAUGAUACAUAGCCGACCUGAGAGGGUGAUCGGCCACCCUGGCACUGAGACACGGCCCAGACUCCUACGGGAGGCAGCAGUAGGGAAUCUUCUGCAAUGGGGGCAACCCUGACCGAGCAACGCCGCGUGAGUGAAGAAAGUUUUCCCAUCGUAAAAUUCUGUUGCUAUACAAGAACGUUCACUAGAGUGGAAAAUUACUUAAGUGACCGUAUCUAACCAGAAAGGGACGGCUCACUACAGGACAUCACCUCCGUUAAGACUUACGCCACCAUCCGUGUCCGCAUUUCUUGGACGUACAGCGAUCCCAUGUGUUUCCUUUAAUCUGAUGUAACCGGCAGCGACUCAAUCAUUGUGUGCGAUCUACACUGACUAGACUCGAGUGCCGGGACAGUACAGCGUAAUUCCAUG